GUUACAUUUGGGGUACAGUUAUUCGUGUGUCAUCCACCAGGAAGUAACGGUAUCUAAGUAUCUCUUAAAGCUUUGUUGUGAUUUUUGAUUCCUAGUGACUGUGAUAUGUAAGAAUUUAGUGUUAAUGUGGCGAUAUAGGAAGUGAUAUGUAAAUAAGUUUGUGCUAAGUCCGUGCUAGAAAAGUGUUACAUAUACAUAUGUAGUGUAGGAUAUACUCAAUUUAGUAUAUUGUCAUUAUAAAAUGAUAUUGUGUUGGAUAACUGAAUUGAGUUGAAGCAAAUGAAAAAGGCCUAUGUUCAAUAAAUAGUAGAACAUCAUAGGCUAGGUUACGAAGCUACGAAUGAAGUUAAAAUAAACUCCAUAUUUCCAUGAGAAAAUGGUCCACGUGCCAUCCACACGCCCAUCUGUGGGCAAACAACACAUGUUGUAUCAUUAGCCCUUCGUCGUACUCGAACAAUGCGAUUGUUAUCGCCCCGUCGGGGUCACUAAGUCAUGGGGUGACUUCGACCCUUCCCGUGCCAUGACCCGGGGCCAGCCACGCGUGAGACGUGUGACUGCUGCACUAAAUUAAGUGUGGAGUACCCUUAAUAGAUAAGCCUCGCCUACCAUAAAGUCUUCCCACGGUUUGAAGAUGCAAAAACCAUCUAUGACAAUGGACAGUCAAAAGAAUGAGAUGCUACAUUUUGCGUCAUAUUUAAAAAGCGAAAAAGUGAAGUAUUAUUUGGCCCCAUGGCGUGACAAGUGUGGGAUUGCCGAAGUUUGUGGGGUACAAUCGAACCCCACCAUUGUGUUUUGUCUGUGACUGCACUUGUCGCGUUUACCUUCCGAGGGGAGCCUGGGUCAAAUUGUUUAUUUUUUUUUUGUAAAUGUCACGGUUAUUUAUUACAUUAUAGAAAGAUUUAGUUUUUAUUGAAUCUCGAUAUUUUAAUAGCGUUUUAUAAAUUUAAAGCUAAUAGCAGUAUUAUACAUGAACUAGUAGUAACUACUAAUGACAGAACAAGUAUUUAAAUGACUUAUAAUAAUACUAACCUAUAAGAAGAUUUAAUUAUCUUAGCUAUUAUGGGCUGUUUGUGUUUGAUAGAUAUGUGAAAUAUGCAAUACAAUAUUUUUUUAUUCAUGAUUGUUUUUGUGACAUAUCUAGUAGGGUAUAUAUGUUACUGUAAAAACCCGAACAUUGGCAAAUUUAAGUUUAACUAGGAAAUCUUAGAAUUUGCUAAAAUGAUGUGGCAAAUAUGUAUAAGGAAACAAAUAAAAAAGCCAUUUUUUGGAUUUCACCAAAUUAGAUAGAAAGGUAGUCAAUACUACGCACUAAAUAUGUUUAAAUAUUAUGUCUGUAAGUGUUAAAACCCAAAUUACAGUAAAUAUAAAAUUUUCUAUAUUUACAUCAGAAACAUGAUAGUAGGUAAAUGUUAAAAAUAGAUAUUAUAUCUAGUCACGUAAUUAAUGACUGAUUGUUUGAUUAUUACAUACUUAAAGCAAAUAUUUAUUUAAUAAAAAAUGCGUUCUCCAAAUACAAUUUAUUUACUUGUAGAAAUUUAUAUUUU
rnacentral:lncRNA from 1 species